rnacentral:lncRNA from 1 species
UAUAGAAGAAAAAUAUGAAAUAUAUUGUAUGUUUUCUGAAACAAUCAAUUUAUAACAUUAUAAAUCAUUAUAAAUAUUAAUAUAAUCAUUAAUAUUCAUAGGGUCAACCAACAUGAAGUUUCUCAUUUGGGCCUGCCUCAUGUAUGUUUCUUUUGCAAGGGAUUACAGUGACAACAUAGGCAGUCCUUACCCAGUUGACCCAUCUGCAAGUAUUCCUUACCCAGUUGACCCAUCUGCAAGUAUUCCUUAUCCCAUGCCAGACAGCGAUUUCCCUCCUCCUGUCUAUGUUACAAAGACUAAUUUCCCCAAUUACCCUGGGAAUCCUGAUCCUGGUACAGCAGUACCCUCAAAUCCACUGGUUUUCACUGUUCUUACAGCUCCCCUCUACAGUAUUGCUAGUCUUCCCAUAUCUCCUUUUUCCGGUCAACCUCCUCCUACUGGGGUUUUCCGCCUUGUUCCUGCCUCACGUAGACCUACAGGACCUUUUUACCCACCAAAUGAAGCUGCACCUUCUGCAGACAAUACAUAUAUAGUUGAGAUUCUUGUCCCACCUACUACACCCUCACCUACUCUCCCAGAUGUCCAACCACUUACUAUCACAGAGCCUGAUGAAGCCGAGCCUGCAGCAGCUGCCCACGCUGCCCCAGGACCUCAGUCCUCUAUUUCUUUUGACCAGGAAUAAUUGGAACAAGAAUCAGUGAAAGCUAAAAAAAUUUAUUUUCUUUUCAAAGACUACCAUUCUAUUAAAAAUAUAUUUCAAUAAAAAAAAUUUAAAUAAUCAGUCU